rnacentral:rRNA from 1 species
UACGUAGGGGGCAAGCGUUGUUCGGAAUUACUGGGCGUAAAGGGCGCGUAGGCGGCACGGCAAGUCAGGAGUGAAAGCCCUGGGCUCAACCCGGGAACUGCUUUUGAAACUGCCGAGCUAGAGUGCGGAAGGGGCAACUGGAAUUCCCAGUGUAGCGGUGAAAUGCGUAGAUAUUAGGAAGAACACCUGAGGCGAAGGCAGGUUGCUGGGACGACACUGACGCUGAUGCGCGAAAGCCAGGGGAGCGAACGGG